ensembl:lncRNA
GUGAGCCUGUCGUUGUGGUGCUGCAGCAACCUUCAGGACUAAAAGACAGCAACGAGCAGUUGCUUGGUUUGCUCAUUCAAAUAAAUGCACGCCGUGACAUCACGAGGCUGCCAAGUAGUAGUCGGGUGCUACAUUCCCCUCCAGAAUUUGCAACCCAGCCAGCGUGCUUCCCCCGCUGGCUCAGGAGCACCGGGAUCAGGUGGGAUGAGACGCACCUGGACCAGACCUCCGUGUCCACGAAAAGAAUAAGGGUCAGUGUGGGAAGCGGGUCGAGGGGGACGCACAGGCUGAAAGAGACCCCUGCAACACACGGCCUUAAAAACGGCAUGAAGCAAAGUGGAAUUAAGGAGAGGGAAAAAUACCUAGCCGGUGAAGCGAGGCCCCUUAUAGGUUCAAUUUUUUAUACUGUUCUGUGGAUUUAACUGUUAUCUUAUGUGGGAGACUUUUUGUUAGUUUUGGACUUUCAAGUUGGUUUGAGAAGAUUAACACAUGACCUUUUUUUGGAAGUCUAUGCUUUUUGCCUGUCUGUUGAUUAAAACCUGCCAAUGUUUGACUUCUCAUGAC